rnacentral:misc_RNA from 1 species
AAGUCGUAACAAGGUUUCCGUAGGUGAACCUGCGGAAGGAUCAUUCAAGAAUACCUGGACUCCGGUCCUCGUCGAGAAAGGUCGUCCCGGGUGGCCUCCAGGUCCCCGGGGGCUUCCCCCCUCUUACCCUCUCGUUUACUCAACCUUCUGUUGCUUUCACGGCACUAUGGCCUCCUGCCCUCGGGUGGUUCCCGGGGCUUGGGGUCGUUGCUGCCCGGCAGGGCCCCGAACCCUCAGUGGAUAGGUCUAUGUUUGUCUGAGUGCGAUAUAAUCGUUUACAA